UGAGAAACCCAAAAGAUCGAAUGGGGAGAUUCAUCGUCAGCUCAUUUUAUAUAUUUGCUUGUUAUGAUAUGGGUUACUACUUGUAGUAUUGCCUAUACAUUCUUGCAUAUUUAUUUGUAAAAUGUUGUCGGCGUGCACUUCUCCUCUAGUAGGACGUCGCGACCCGUUGAGUAUUGGUCUACGGCCCAAGUGGAUGAUUUUAAUGAAUUUUUAUUUAUUAAAAACCCUUGGUGUUCAACCUGACUAAAACUCGUCGGUAUUCGUAUGGUAUUGAGCCGCAUAUUAUAUGCGUCCAUAUCUGUCACAAGCGAGGUUAGUAAUAUAUAUAAUACUGAUAGUACGGACUUAGUGCCGUCGUUGGUGCUAAUCAGCUGUUGGUUGUACAGAAAUCUAGGACUGGCUCUUAUUUAUUAAAAAUAAUACCGGUUAGCGAUGCUACUGCUUUGGGUACUUUCAGGACCCGUCUUGAAACACGGACCAAGGAGUCUAACAUGUACGCGAGUCAUUGGGAUAUAUAAAAAUUAAACCUAAAGGCGUAAUGAAAGUAAAGAUCGUCCUUGUGUCGAUUAAGGGAGGAUGAGCUAUAUUACGAUAUAGCUUCGCACUCUCGGGGCGUCUCAUUCUCAUUAUGAGAAGAGGCGCACCUAGAGCGUACACGUUGG
rnacentral:rRNA from 1 species